GAGAGAGAGAGGCAAAGAGAGAGCAGGCUUUGAGAGAACUAUUGACUUUUCUAAACACAACAUUUUCAGACUAUAUUCACAUAAGUACUGUAGAUCUCCAGCACUUAAAUUCAGACAGAAUACAAUAACAAAAAUACACUUGACUUACCUUGAGAGACAGAGAAGACAUGAACAGAGUUAACAUGAGUGGUGUGCUCAUCUUCUUCAUGGUCGCCAUCACUGCUGUGCAGGGACAAAAAUCAGGGUGUGUAUCCUUCUUGAGAAGCAUUGUUGCUAUGACAUGUCCCGGGGGUGUGUGAAAACUGCGUUGAGCUGGAUGCGACUCUGGUUACCGGGGCUAUUGUUGGGGACCUGCUGGUGACAGGAGGGGUCAUCUUCAUUGUGUAUAGCUGGGCUCAGAAGAAGUCUGGACCUGCUGCACCCCAAAAACUGUUACCAUCUGAUUAUCCAUCAGCCAACAGUGGCACUUGGUGAUAGGGAGCACUCUCAACUAUUUAAUUUGACCAUACCCAGGACUACUCGACAGCAAAGUAUUCACACAUCAUAAAAACAUAAAUUCCUCUGUGGCAUAGUAUUGAUAAUUUCUUAUUGGUACAGCGAAUAGUUGAUUUAUUUAUAAUAAUUUAUAUUUGGUUUUCACCUUAGAGACGUACCGCUCAGCAGGCCGUGGUCCACCAGUGGUGCCAAGUCCUGACUAUGAAGUAGGCUGUCGACCACCACCUCUUGUCCAUCUCUCCAUCUGUAUUUUGUGCUUUUAUUCCAUCCGUAUCUCCUACCUAUUCUUCAUUCCACGUCUCAUGGUUAGCCAAUGUCUGUCAGCAUGUUAGGGAGAUGGUCUAGGCUAGCUAUUCACAAUACUUCUGGUGAAGAUGCAUAAAAAAAGAGUGUUGUUGCAAUGGAAACUGACCUGUGAAUCUGACUUCAACUGACCUGUGAAUCUGACUUCAACUGACCUGUGAAUCUGACUUCAACUGAUCUGUGAAUCUGACUUAAACUGAUCUGUGAAUCUGACUUAAACUGACCUGUGAAUCUGAUUUCAACUGAUCUGUGAAUCUGACUUAAACUGACCUGUGAAUCUGACUUCAACUGACCUGUGAAUCUGACUUCAACUGAUCUGUGAAUCUGACUUAAACUGACCUGUGAAUCUGACUUCAACUGAUCUGUGAAUCUGACUUAAACUGACCUGUGAAUCUGACUUCAACUGAUCUGUGAAUCUGACUUAAUUAACAACAACAAAUAGCUACAGCAGUCACCUAAAGCCUUUAUUUCCCCCCUGACAGCCCCUUAGCGUGGCAACCUGCAGCAGAGAUAUCUACGCUACCCACAGGACUGGGUAGACUAUCCUCUCACCAGACCACACCUGUUCUCUAGGACCCCUCUGAUGCCCUGGACCAGCAGGCCUCAGCUCACCCUGCCAUCAAAGAGGAGGGGAGAAGGCUCUGUAGUUCUUAGCAUAGACUUAAAGAGCUUCUUAUUUGAGCUUGAUGUGUAAAAAGUGUGAUAUCAUGAUUUAGUUAAAACUAUAGUUCAGAAUUACUGUAACUAGCGAUAAUAGUGAUCAACAUAGUGUUGCUCUGGAAAAUAGAGACAAAGGUAGGAAGAUCUUUGUAACGACUUUUGGAUGUUUGCUGUACUGAAAAACAACUUGUACAUAUCUGUGUAGAUCAACUGUUGUAAAAUGGUAUCAAUGCUUGCAGAUGCCAAGUUCUUCCUCCUCACAAUGUUAAUGCUGCCUGUAUAUACACUGAGUGUACAAAACACCAUCCUAAUAUUGAGUUGAACCCCCUUUUGCACUUAGAACAGCAUCAAUUCAUUGGGUUAUGGGCUACAAGGUGUCGAAAGCGUUCCACAUGGAUGCUGGCUAAUGUAGACUCCAAGGCUUGCCACAGUAGUGUCAAGUUGGCUGGAUGUUCUGUGGGUGUUGGACCAUUCUUGAUACACACAGGACACUGUUGUCUUGCCCAUUCAC